CCUACGUGAGGCAGCAGUGGGGAAUAUUGCGCAAUGGGCGAAAGCCUGACGCAGCGACGCCGCGUGAGGGAUGAAGGUCUUCGGAUCGUAAACCUCUGUCAGCAGGGAAGAACGGUCACUGUGCUAAUCAGCAGUGAAUUGACGGUACCUGCAAAGGAAGCACCGGCUAACUCCGUGCCAGCAGCCGCGUUAAUACGGAGGGUGCGAGCGUUAAUCGGAAUUACUGGGCGUAAGGCGCUCGUAGGCGGUAUGUCAAGUCAAGGGUGAAAUCCCCGCGCUCAACGUGGGAACGGCCUUUGAAACUGGCAAACUGGAGUGUGUGAGAGGAUAGUGGAAUUCCAGGUGUAGGAGUGAAAUCCGGAGAUAUCUGGAGGAACAUCAGUGGCGAAGGCGACUAUCUGGCACAUAACUGACGCUGAGGAGCGAAAGCGUGGGUAGCAAACAGGAUUAGAUACCCGUGUAGUC
rnacentral:rRNA from 1 species